GCUGCCCGUGUCGCAGCCACGCGGUGGGCUCCCAGGCCCCCUGCCAGUCCCAGCAGCCACCGUUAACCGGUAUUAUAUGCACUUUUGUCUAAACCCAAGAGCUGGAAGUUUCCUUUCCACCAGAGAUCCCCCUUUCAGGCUUGUGCACAGACCCGAUGGAGGUGACACUGUGUGGGGACAUUGCAGGCAGGCCAGCAGGGAACGAGGAUGUGGAGGGCAGUAAGUGACUAACAGCAAGAGCAGCAGGUGACAAACAGCAAGAGCAGCAAGCAGCAUCUUUCACCUAGACUGUUCCCGGUGGCACAGGACAAGCAAAUGGUUAAUAAACACAGAGAACAGGCUGAAGAAAGCAAGUUUCACUGUGUUUCAUUGCGAAGUCACACUGUUUCCCAGGAAUAAGAUGCUCAGCACGCGAUCAGUAACUGCUUUAUGUCGGAGGCCUUUGUUGGAUUUCAGGCUCAGUGUGACUCAGAACGCGGUACUCCUGCUAACUAAGAAGACGGUGAGCAGUGCCCAUGAUGAAGAGCCCAGUUUGUUGCCACACUCAGCUCCUGCAGAGAAACGUGGAAAGGGUGUGGUCUGGAAUGAUCUGCUGAUAAGCGGGAAGGAGCAGAAGGAUCAGGUGGGAACACCAAAAACCUUGCCCCUUUCCUGAUUCUGCUAAUGAGCAGCUCCAAGGGACUUCCCUGUUCCUUGUCC